GUAGAGUGCCACAAAGUACGAAUAUGGCUAACUUCAUUGUAUAUGGAAAAUUGUAUGUUAUCACUAAAAAUUCCGAAAAUACUAAACGAUUGAGACAAGAAAAUCGCUUUAUAUAUGUGCUAAAUGAAAUGGAUUUUCUUUAAUUGCAUGAACCAUAAAGCUUGAUCGAUCAAUCAAUGCUAGCAUUCCGAAUUUCUCCAAUUAUCGAUAAAUUCGUGACGCUUUAAGGUUUAAUAUUCGGAAACACAAAAGGUUGAAUUUAAUUUGCAAUAAGCAAUAGCACUGAUGCAGCAAUUUCCCGUUCAGAAUAAACUCUUUUUAAUAACCUCGUUUUUUUUCUUUGAUGAGAGUAAAUUGGCUUAUCAAUGGGUGUUUUUUCGCCUACUAAAAUGUUACAAGAAUUUCGAUGAAAAAUACCGGAAAUGAUUGCCCCAUUUUUUCCAACCAAAUCAAGGUUUUCCUCAAAUCUGCUUUAAUGUUUUUAAUGGAAUGGAACCUGUGGCUUCUUUUAGAUGAAUGCAAUGACUAAAUAAUAAUUCCAAUAAUAAAGGAUUUCUCUUCUAUGACCUCAAAGUCACGUAUAGCAUAAAAAUAGACACAAUUUUUUUUACAUAUCAAUUUAUUCGCGAAAAGUUUAUUUUAAAACAAACAAUUAUUUAUCUUAAUUCAAUUGCAUAGCCAUGUCAUCUAACUCUAGUCUGAGACAUAAAUUGAAUAAGUUGCCUAUGUCUUGUUGACUGUUCCAUUUCACACAGUUUUUAUCUCAAUUGGUAAUUUCUUUGUUAUUUAUAUGGUAAAAAAAAUUCUUCUUACUUUUAUUAAAGGCCUUGAAUUAUCAACUGUUUUCUUUAUUGUUUUUUUGUUGUUGUUUAGUUUUUGGUUCUAUUUUACGUCGAUGAAUAGAUUU